rnacentral:lncRNA from 1 species
GAAUGACAGGAUAACAACUGCAAUUCAAAAGCCAGUAGUUACUCACCUCCUGAUGGCUAUCCUUGUCAACUGUGAACCCAUCAAAGGACAUCUAAAAUUCAACAUGGGACAGUGUAACAGAUUAAUUCAACACCCUCUCCACAAUCCCCUCAAAGUUGAAUGCAUAUUUUCUUCCUGUAGCAGCCCUCCAUCCUGAUUUAUUUCCAAGCUGAGUGUGACCGGUAGUUGGACCAGGAGUUUCACAGCAUUGGCUUCCUUGGUUCUCAGACCUUCUGAGUUGCACUGAGCCACACUACUGGCUUCCCUGGUUCUCCAGCUUGCAGACACCCUACCUGGGACUUCUCAGCCUCCACAGUGCAGUGAACCAAAUCCCCUCUGAAAACCCUUCAUUGGCUUCCUAAGUCCUCCAGGAGAGAGUCACAAAUCCUUCACCCAGCAGCCAGAGCCUUCCACUCUCCAAUCCUGUCCAGUCGCUACCCUUUCCUCUCAGCGCUGCUUCACUCUCACUUGACCACCCAGCAAGAGCACAGGAUUUCCUGUGUCCUCCAGCCAUGUAAUUACUUCUCCACUUUCAUUGCCUGGUGAGUGCUGGUUAUGCUUUAAAAAUAUGUGCUACCUGGCUGGGGGCAGUGGCUCACCCCUGUAAUCCCAGCACUUUGGGAGGCCGAGGUGGGUGGAUCACGAGUUCAGGAGUUCAAGACCAGUCUGGCCACGAUGGUGAAACCCUGUCUCUACGAAAAAUACAAAAAAUAGG